AACGAACGCUGGCGGCAUGCCUAACACAUGCAAGUCGAACGAGACCUUCGGGUCUAGUGGCGCACGGGUGCGUAACGCGGGGGAACCUGCCCUUAGGUUCGGAAUAACUCCCCGAAAGGGGUGCUAAUACCGGAUAAUGUCUUCGGACCAAAGAUUUAUCGCCUUUGGAUGGGCCCGCGUUGGAUUCGCUAGUUGGUAGGGGAAAAGCCUAGCAAGGCGACGAUCCAGAGCUGGUCUGAGAGGAUGAUACGCCACAAUGGGACUGAGGCACGGCCCAGAAUGGUACGGGAGGGAGGAGAGGGGAAUAUUGGACAAGGGGGGAAAGCGUGAUCCAGCAAUGCCGGGUGAGUGAUGAAGGGCUUAGGGUUGUAAAGCUGUUUUAGACGGGAUGAUAGUGACAGUACCGGGAGAAUAAGCACCGGCUAACUCCGUG
rnacentral:rRNA from 1 species